rnacentral:lncRNA from 1 species
AAACGAACCCUUGAUAGCUUCUGCACCAUCAGGUUAUCCUGAUCCAACAUCGAGGUCGUAGGUAUUCUUGUUGAUAUGGACUCUUCAAGAAUGUGGCGCUGUUAUCCCUGGAGUAGCUUGGUUCUUUAAUCAGUUGUACUGGGUCGGUGUGGUAUAUUCAUUUAGACUUGUUGGUCUUGAUGAUGUGGUUUGAGGUUUUGUUUCUCUAUAGUUGCCCCAACUAAAAGUGUCUGUCAUAGGUUGACAAUUAAUUUUAAGUUUCACAGGGUCUUUUUGUCUUGCUUUGUCAUUCCUGCUUUUGUACAGGGGGAUCAAUUUCACUGACUGGCCUAAAGAGACAGUUUCUUUCUCAUGUGGCCAUUCAUACAGGUCCUUAUUUAAAGGACAAGUGAUUGCGCUACCUUCGCACGAAUUAUCGCGGCCGUUUAAGGGGUUCCUCACUGGGCAGGCAGUACCUUUAAUACUUGGGUGGCUAAUGGCUAUGUUUUUGUUAAACAGUUGGAAAGGUUGUGUCGUUCGGUCUUUUCUGGUCUGAUGAUGUGUUAAAGUUUUGUUCUUAGAGAGUGUCUCUUGUUACUAAUUCUAGCAUCGUUUCUUCUAUUUUUGAAUAGAGUAGCCUGGGGUGGAAGUAGGAAGUUGUUGUGGUUUUUUGAAUUUUUUGGUUGUUCCUGUAACGUUAUAUUUUGUGGUGGCUGCUUUGGGGCCUACUGGCUAGUGCUUAUACUUUUUCUCUACUUUGGGCUGUAUCCCACAUCAAUUGAGCUGAGCCUCAGUUGAUUAUCUCUUGGACAGUGGGGUCAUUAGUGGAGAAUGGUUAGUGUCCAAGGUCGAACUUAGAUUCGUUUGGUCAGGCAACCAGCUAUCGGCAAGUUCGUUAGGCUUGUCACCUCUAUUUUCAAGUCAUCUCAUUCUUUUGCUACAGAAACGAGUUCGUCCUUAAAGACUGCUUGGAAAUAGCUCACUUGCAUUCGGGGGGGCAGGCUUGGAUUCUUCUUGUCUGCUGUGUUCUUGCUAGACGGUGAUGCAAAAGGUACGUGGGUUAAUCCCUGCUGUAAUGUGCUGGUGUUGUAUGUGGUGUUUUCCUUUACAGUACUUUCUCUAUUGCGUCAUAUGAGUGAUGUUCGAUCGCAUCUACUAGUCUUAGUAUAAUGUUUUGGGUUAUUUUAAUGGUUGGUUUGUGGGUUUGGAUGGGCUUAAGGUAGGCUCAAAAAGGCUGCGGUGUUUGGCGUCUUCCGAUUGUAAAACGGGUGCUUUAGAGUAAGCUACUUUUUGCUCCAAGCACACCUUCCGGUGCGCUUACCGUGUUACGACUUGCCCCGUCUUCAGGUGUAUUUGCUGAAAAUGGGGGUGACGGGCGGUUUGUGCGUACCCCAGCGCAUAGAUUCAGAUCAAUGUUCUUAUUGAUCUUACUACUAAAUCCUGCUUAGUUCGAGGUUAAAUGGGUGAAGUUCAGCUCGAGUUUCGUUUGGCCAUGAAUGUGGCAUUGUAGCCCAUGCGUGCCACCUCAUAAGCUGCACCUUGACCUGUCGUUUUUA